UCUUGUUCUCCCCUCGAUCCGGAUGCUCUGCUCUCCGACCCCGUUCGGUAACCGUUAAUGGUUCAGAUACCCUGAGGGAGAAGGAGGUGCCGAAAGGGGAUGGGAGCAACAAGUUUGAAUCGAAAGAGUUUAUUGUACCAUCAGUGGCCGUGCUGGACAGGAGGGGCCAGCGAAGUACUUUUAGUUAUGAGUUUGUUAAACCGGCGGAAUCUAAUAUUCCUGAGAUUGAAGGAUGUAACAUCGCACAUGUUGUACUACAGCUGAAAACUCUUGGCAUUGAUGUGUAACCAUCAAGUUAGUUUAAUGUGCCCUCAAUGGCCAUGUUGGACAGGAGGGGCCAGGGAAGUGUUUUCGGUUGUUUCAAGACUGUGAGUUUGAUAAAAUGGCAGAAUCCACUAUUCCUGAGAUUAAACCAUGUAACCUUGCAAAUAUUGUACUACAACUCAAGGCUCUUGGGACUGGUGACAUCAUAGGUUUCCAUUUUAUGAAGAAACCAUCAAGGUUGACAAAUGAGCAUGCAUCUACGGAGUGGAGCAGAGGCGUCUUCUAGCCUAACGAAGUCUUGGCGGCAGCUGCGUGUAAAACCCUUACCAACUUCAGAUCAGAGAAGAGCAUGCACCUGUGCCGGCGAAGAGCUCGUCGUCGCCGCUGUGGGAGGGCGCCUGGGCGGCUGCACCUGUGUUGGGGAAGAGCUCGUCGUCGCGGCUGUCGUCGGUGACUCGGCGAGCUCGUCGUCACGGCGGUCGUCGGGUGCCUCGGCGGCUGUGCAGGGCAGCAACGGCACACGUAAGCUGGACGACGGAUUGAUUCCCUGGAUAUAUUUCCGAUAAGCUAGCACAUUUGUUUCCGUAUAUGGCUCCCCGUGUAAAUUGGAUGUGGGCUGUUUCCUUUGUGCGGGCGUGGGUGUUGGUAGAGUUUUCGUCCGCCCUGGAAAAAUGCUAAACGCACUUCUUUUGUGGGUUGGUGUAAUCGUGAUGGCUAGAUCUAAUUAAGCGAUUUGAUCGUGAGGCUCCAAUUAAUCGGGAAUGUUAUGUGUAGAUUAGGCUGGGUGU